GCAGUAGGGAAUCUUCCGCAAUGGACGAAAGUCUGACGGAGCAACGCCGCGUGAGUGAAGAAGGUUUUCGGAUCGUAAAACUCUGUUGUGAGGGAAGAACAAGUACCAAGUAACUACUGGUACCUUGACGGUACCUCACCAGAAAGCCACGGCUAACUACGUGCCAGCAGCCGCGGUAAUACGUAGGUGGCAAGCGUUGUCCGGAAUUAUUGGGCGUAAAGCGCGCGCAGGCGGUCCUUUAAGUCUGAUGUGAAAGCCCACGGCUCAACCGUGGAGGGUCAUUGGAAACUGGGGGACUUGAGUGCAGAAGAGGAAAGUGGAAUUCCACGUGUAGCGGUGAAAUGCGUAGAGAUGUGGAGGAACACCAGUGGCGAAGGCGACUUUCUGGUCUGUAACUGACGCUGAGGCGCGAAAGCGUGGGGAGCAAACAGGAUUAGAUACCCUGGUAGUCCACGCCGUAAACGAUGAGUGCUAAGUGUUAGGGGGUUUCCGCCCCUUAGUGCUGCAGCUAACGCAUUAAGCACUCCGCCUGGGGAGUACGGCCGCAAGGCUGAAACUCAAAGGAAUUGACGG
rnacentral:rRNA from 1 species